rnacentral:sRNA from 4 species
GAGUUCACCGGGUCGUGCAGGAUGAAGAACCGUAGAGGUUCGAGCAUCGCGCAGCGAUACGACAACGCGCAGCGUUGCCCGCAGGGUGAGGGCCACAGGCCGAAUCAAUCCUGCACGACCCACCC